AGUAAAUUGGUUAAGUUAGAAAGGGCGCACGGUGGAUGCCUUGGCACUAGGAGCCGAAGAAGGACGGGACUAACACCGAUAUGCUUUGGGGAGCUGUACGUAAGCGUUGAUCCAGAGAUUUCCGAAUGGGGGAACCCACUAUCUUUAGUCGGAUAGUAUCCUUACGUGAAUACAUAGCGUGAGGAAGGCAGACCCAGGGAACUGAAACAUCUAAGUACCUGGAGGAAGAGAAAGAAAAAUCGAUUUCCUGAGUAGCGGCGAGCGAAACGGAAAGAGCCCAAACCAAGAAGCUUGCUUCUUGGGGUUGUAGGACACUCUAUACGGAGUUACAAAAGAAAGUUAUAAAUGAAGCGGUCUGGAAAGGCCCGCCAAAGACGGUAACAGCCCGGUAGUUGAAAUGGCUUUCCCUCCAGAGUGGAUCCUGAGUACGGCGGAACACGUGAAAUUCCGUCG
rnacentral:rRNA from 2 species